CCCUUAGAUGUUCUGGGCCGCACGCGCGCUACACUGAUGCAUUCAACAAGUCUAAAACCUGCUCUGAUAGGGGUGGGUAAUCUUUUGAAUGUGCAUCGUGAUUGGGAUAGAUGAUUGCAAUUUUUCAUCUUCAACGAGGAAUGCCUAGUAAACGCAAGUCAUCAGCUUGCAUUGAUUACGUCCCUGCCCUUUGUACACACCGCCCGUCGCUCCUACCGAUUGAAUGAUCCGAUGAAUAUCAUGGAUUGAGGAUGCAAGUAGGUUCGCCUAUCUUCAUCUUCGAGAAGUGAAGUAAAUCUUAUCAUUUAGAGGAAGGAGAAGUCGUAACA
rnacentral:rRNA from 1 species